rnacentral:tRNA from 1 species
GCUCCUUUAGGUCAAUAGGCAAAGCGCGUUCAUGGUAAGGACGAGGCCUCAGGUUCGAUUCCUGAAGGGAGUA